rnacentral:siRNA from 1 species
GAAGCUGAUAACUCCCUUUUAGCC